rnacentral:rRNA from 1 species
UACGUAGGUGGCAAGCGUUGUCCGGAAUUAUUGGGCGUAAAGCGCGCGCAGGCGGUUUCUUAAGUCUGAUGUGAAAGCCCCCGGCUCAACCGGGGAGGGUCAUUGGAAACUGGGAAACUUGAGUGCAGGAGAGAAGAGCGGAAUUCCACGUGUAGCGGUGAAAUGCGUAGAGAUGUGGAGGAACACCAGUGGCGAAGGCGGCUCUGUGGCCUGUAACUGACGCUGAGGCGCGAAAGCGUGGGGAGCAAACAGG